ACAUUGUUUGUAUGACUUGCUAAGCCAAGGACGGCACAGAUGCUAGAGGGAAACAGCAAGAAAACCAAUUAGAGCAAGAUGCACAUUUCAAGCAGGAACAGCAGAAGCCCUCUCCAAGAAAGAUGCAAACACUGGAUUGUUGUAUUAAGAUGCAGCAUUACCACUGCUGCUAAGCAUACUCCAAGAGAUCACAGGAAAUGAGGACAACAGAAAGCUGCAGAUCCCAUGAAUGUAAAAAUUGUCUUGAAGGCAAAGAACAAUUCAGCCCUAAUUACAACCAGCUGGAGUCUGCUCUCUUCGCACUGAUACUUCGAUAAUUAACCAAAUCCUGAUGCAAGACUG